rnacentral:lncRNA from 1 species
GAGAAGAAAGCAGUGAAUAUGUCAUGCUGGAGUAGUUUUUGUUGCAAGCAAAAUAUGGAAAACGAAGCUUUGAUAGUUGUACUACUCAAAGUAGCAAGUACAUUUGGGUUGAUAUAAUCUAUGAAAAGAGAGCAUGGAAAAUCAUCUGACUUCCAUUGCACCUGCAUCAGCAUGUGUCUGCUUUUAAGGUAUUCCCCUAAAUGCUUUGAAAGUAUAAUCACAUACACAUCCAUUUGCAUGUUAUUUUUCGGAGCUUGACAUGAAGCCAUCAGGAAUGGGUCAUGCUCUGUGUACUCUGUAUCUGUCGAUCUUCCAUGUCCUUCACAUUCCAUGAUUUAGGUAUGAUUAAGCUUUUCUUAGAAUACUCAACUGCCAUGGGUUAGUGAGGUAAACUUUGGAUAUUUAUCACAACAGAAAAGAACCACUUGACUGAAAUCCAUAAUCAAUAUUCAAUUAACGUUCUUCUGGUCUCAUCUGCUUAAACAUAAGGAUCCAUUCAUUUGUAUAAUGCUGUUAAUGACAAUAUCAGAUGAACCUAGUUUGGUGGAAACCUCUUCGCUGUGUAUUAGAUCAUUGCAUAUGAAAAAGUUUCAAGCUUCCUAUUAGUUCAUGAGCAAUAUACCGUAUUGAAUUGCUAAUGUAUAUCAUCUGAGAUCAUCCUGCACUCUAAAUUAUUGGAGGCAACUGGCCUGCGAUCUCAAGCUGAUCCUGUCUUGUUGUUAAUCAUUUUGAAGACUUCUCCUCUUUUGAAUGGUGACGAUCCUUAUAUGAGAUGAGACAUGCAAAGUUAUUCACGCAUGUUAGAAAGGUUGAGCUAGCUGGGACGUGGAGAAGGUGAUCUAUCAACAUGGAGAACCUGACAUCUGGUGGAGCUGCGUGAAAAAAUUGGAGAAUCUCUAGAAGGUAUGUCUAUAUGUUAGAUUGGAGUUCUAUCCACAAGGAAAAGCAAUCCGCAAAUGUCUGAACAACCAUUAUCAUUGUUUAACAUGGCAUAAAUUUAAUUGUUUUACUAUUGAUAUGCUGGUGUAUGGAUUCAUUUGUCUCGAAUAUGCAUUAGUUUUUUGAUGUAUGAGAUAUAUUACAUCUUUUUUUCUUCUGAAAAAGGCAUUCUAAUCAAUUAUUAAUCAAAGGAAUGUUUAGUAGCUCAUGAAUUAAAGAUGGGGUUUAACCAAAGAUAGAACCCAAUGCCCGAGCUAGCUAAUGGGCACAUUGGUUCGCUGGUCUUUUAACAAAAGACGAGGAAAUAGAAGUAAAGCCACACAUGAGUGCUAUACAAUCUCGAAUAAUAAUAUCAAAAAAAAAUAAGAGUUGUUGUUGUAAGAUUUUUCUGAUGCUUGUUUAACCCAAAGACUUUCAAUCUCCACAAUAAUUGUUAUUGAUGAAAAAUGUUCCUUUAGCGAGCUUAGUACUUCUCGAACACCCAAAGCCUCAACCAAAAGGGAGUCAUGCGGCGUAUCUAAUCAACUAGAGUGACCUCUCAUGAAGUUUCCAUGAGAAUCACGGACUAGCAUGUCUGACUCGCUCCUACCAAAGUAAGGUCUAAAGAAGGAUCAAUGUUUCUCUUAAGGAUAUUCUCAUUAGGAGGAAACCAUCUAAUUGGACCAAACUCUUACUCGGGACUCCUACUCGAGUCUCAAUCCUGAACCAAGACACCUGACUCAAAAUCUAACCCUAACUCAAGAUUCGAGCCUUGAGACCUAGGAUCUAAGCCCCAACCCUCGGCCUUGGCCUAGGACCUAGGACAUGACACCUAAAACUUGAUCCUGACCCAAGGCUCGAGACCCAAAGCUCGAGACCCUUCGACACUAACUCGAGAUUCAACUAGGAACUCGAACACUUACCGUCUAGAACAAUUCGAUAUCUAACUCUGACCUUAACCCGAGACCCAAUCCUCGAGAUUCGAAACCUACAACCUAACCUUCAGUCGUGACUGCCGACUAGAACCUCGAGACUUGACCCGGAUCCAUAUUAAAAAUCAAAGUGAAAUUUUAGCAGUAAACCCAAAUUAAAGUAAAUCUUUAAAAUGUGCUAGAGUUUGACAAAAUUUAGAGAUCACUUUAAAAAUGAGUUAUGUUUGGUUAGAUUUAAGAGGGUCAACCCAAUAUGAAAUUAUCUUGUGCUUAAGAUUUUGGGUGAAUUGGGUGGACCACCAAUUUUCAGGCCAUAUUUGACACCCGUACGUAAGUGUGUGAACUGAAAAAUGGGCCAAGUUAUAUGAUUAUUCCUUAAAACCUCUAUUUACUUCAAGGAAUACUUUAUUUUUUCUACUAGUAAUAAGAGGUUAGGAAGUAGGUCAUGGACGACAUGCUUGCUUCCAGACGAGGGCAAGACAAUAAUUUUAUACUUGGUUGUGUGCUUUUGUCACGACCCAAAAUCGGAUGUGAUGGCACCUGUCUUAUCCCACCAAGACAGGUCAGCCUAAACCCAAAUACGAUAAGGUGAAUGUGGAAGUUUAAACAAAAUAAGGAACUAAGUAUAACACAAACAUGCAGAAACAUAAUAUAACUCAAAAUACCCCCAAAACCUAGUGUCACGUUUACAAGCCUCUAAGUAUUACAAUAGAUUCAAAGAAGUACAAGUAUGAAUGUCUUUGUUGCUAGAGCAAAACAAGAACAUAAUUAAAGAAUAAGAGGUUUCCGCCGAUAUGACAAACAAGUACCUCACAACUCUUCAUAGUAAGCCUCGGAUGUAAAAGAGAAGAAGGAAUAAUCACGAUGAUCCGAGCUCGUACCCUACACAAGUGUAGAAGCAAGAGAGCGAGUACCAAACAACACGGUACUCAACAAAUAAACGACUAACUCAAGGUAAAGCAAUACAUAAUACAAGUAUUCCCAACACUCCAACCGAACCUCCACAACUACAACCUGCACAGAAUAAGUCCAACCUAACAAUUCACAUUUAUAUAGCACAUAAACAUGAAUAGCAACACUUUAAACGUAUACAGGUCACCAAUACAAAAGUUGAUAUUCAUCAACCACAGGCUCCAUAACAAGCACUCACAAGGUCUACAAAUGGUAAUGAUGUGCAAUGUAAUGAAAUGAAAUGUCAAAUAUAGUAAUGCAUGUCUGUCCUAACGAUACACAUCCGCUAAAUAUCAGACUGGGACCCAUGGGGGACUCACAAGGUUCAUGUAUCCGCCGGAAUCAUUUUCCCUCGUCAUAGUCAUCAAUCACCGAAACCAUUUUCCCUCAGCAUAAUCAUCAAAAUAGAUCUCAACACAGUGUUUUAGAACCAAUGCAAAUAGGCAUGUCCACACAAUAAUGAGAAGAUGACUAUUUCCAUAUCAAUACACAAUCCAUAUCAACACAAUCAUGAUACAUCAUCAAUAAUGAAUCAAUAUAAUCUUUCAAAUCAUCCACAACACAUCACACAUCAUUAUACCAUCAAGUUACCUUUUAUUUCCCCUUCUUCAUCACUAGAAUCAUUCAAUAUGACUAUCUGACCACAAAUAUCAAACCCUUCACCACUUUCCAUUUCUACCCAACGCAUACAAUAAGGAAUACAAGAUUCUAUAUACUUAACAAAGGGUCAAGAAGUCCACUUGUCUUGAACAAACAAUCAAUCACCCCUGCACUUGAGCUUUCCCUUCACGUAGAGCCACAUAAUCCACACCAAGUAAUCAAAUAUAGAAUACCCAUAAGUAAAUUUGAACAACAACACAUAUAAUGUUGAUUUUGAAAAUCUGGUUCGUAAUGACCCAAAAAGUCAAUCUCGAAGGCUAGGGUCAAAUAUGGGAUUUUGUAAGAAAUCAUGAUACACCCUUCGAGGUGGCCCAGUGGUUUGGGCUUGGGACUUCCAUGUUGGAGGUCUCAAGUUCGAAACCCCUUGCCAGCGAAAGCAAGGGGUUUGCCUUCUAGGUCGAGCUCGUCACACCGGGCUUGCCUAGUGCGGGUUACCUCUCCUAUGUGGUUUUCGAGCUAUUGCAUAGGAGCGAAAGUUUUAUCCUAUGCUCACCCAAAGGGUAGAGACUGUGGUUUCCCUUGUCAUAAAAAAAGAAAGAAAAAGAAAUCAUGAUACACAAAGAUUUUGUAACUCAUUAGUGAAAACCCCAUUGAAAAAUGAGUUGAAAUCAUGCUCAAAUCUCUAAUCACUUAAAACACAAGUACGUGAGAAAACCCCCCAAAACUUGGAUCCGAAACUCCGAGUCAAACCUGAAAUAUUUCUUAAAACAUAUCUUACCCAUGCUUAGGAAAGUUCAACUAUGAAAUUUCAUCGAAAACAGAGUUAAAAUCGGCCUUGAAAUCCUCAAUUUAUCAAACUUUAACUUUAUCAAGAAAAACCCAAAUUCUCAAGCUUAUACGUGGUUAAUAUGAUGAAAAUAAUUGAUGAAUUAUGCCAAAAUCAGUUUACGCAUAACAUAAGGAUCAUAAAUACUCAUUUUUCAUCAAAAACUGAGUCGAAAUUGAUAAAACCCAAUUUCCUCCCAAGAAAUACACGGAUAAGGAAAGAAAAUCAGAUGAAGAAAUCAUUAGAGAAAGUCAAUAUGAGGAUUGGAUACUAACCCCCAUAUUAAAUUGAAAAGAAUGCCGCAAGAAUCACUCUAUUCCGAGCUCUAGAACUCCCAAUAUGCUCAAAUUACCAAAUGAACACAGUCUGAAAUUUAAAUACCUAUACAACAGUAUUUAUACCAGCGCACCAGCAACUUGAAUUUUCAUUAAAAGAGCCGUAACUUCCUCAUACGAUAGCGAAAUGACCCGUUUCUUUUUCCUAAAUGUCUUAAAUAAUGAUACAGACCUUUUCGUUCAAUUGAAACUCAAUUCCAUGCUCGUUUGCCCAAUCAAAUAUCAUUUUUGCUCGGUAAACAAUUAUUUCAUAUAUCGCGAUAAAAUUUCAAUCUCGGCUUAGUGAAAAUGCACCAAUUUUCGCAGAUCAUUCCUAUAAUUCAUGCUCAAAAUUUCAGAAUAAUUUUUCGAUCUUUAAUACAAAUAAGGAACCUUUUAGUCGACACAAAUUGCUGAAACAACGCCAAAGCACCCAAAAAGCAUAGAAACUCACCCAAAACUCAUCCGGAACCUCCCGAACACAAACCAAAUAUGCUUCUAUCUUGGAAAAGACAUUUCGGACUCAAUUAAAUCAUCAAAACACCCAAACAAGCUCACCUAAACCCAAUGUUGACCAAAUUCAACUUUGACUUAAGAAUCUCCAAAUUUUCAAAUAAUGACAUGAAACUCAUCCAAAAGUUUUGGGACUGAACCAAACUUUCAACUAGACCAAAUAUCACCAUUUAGACCUAGUGGAAUCAUUAAAACUCGAAAAUGACCUUUCUAACUUCAAACGUUUACUAAAGUCAAACUUUAGCCUUAACUUUCUCCGCAUCUCGUCUAAUGGCUCAAAAUCAAACCAAAAGCCUUGGGACUCAAUCCAACAAUACAUCUAGACCAAAAACCACAUUUCGGAGCUAACGAAACUGUCGAAAUUUUAUUCCGAGCUUGUUGUCACCAAAUUUUUACUUUGGUCAACUAUGUGAUGCUUUCAACUUUGAAAACACAAAAACUCUUCCUAAACUCAUCUAUAUACCUCAAGUCCUGAGCCAAUAGUCCUACUAACCCAAAAGUCAGAGCUGAUGGAAUUGAUGGAAUUCCAUUCUGAGACACGCAACUCUGGUUGUUACAAAUAACCACUUCUAACAACUUUAACUCUCCAAAACUCUAAAACUUCCAAAUAUCAUAACUUUACAAUCAAAUUUUAUAACCAACUUUGUAAACUGAUCAAACAAGACUCGGGACAACUAUCGGGAGGGGUAAAACAAUAAUUUUCUAUAAAUUUCCAAAAAUGACCUUCAGGGUCAUUAAUUUAUCCACCACUAAAAACCAUAUUUGUCCUCAAACAUAAAGAAAAAGAAAGACGAAUACUCGACGUUACCAAAAGGCUAAGGCAUAAUUCCCAAAUUCGGUAUUUGCUUCUCCAAGUGAACUCAUUCUUAGGACCAUAUCAUCAGGACAACAACAAGAAUUGAACUUCCAAACAAAAAUUGAAAAUUCUGCAAACCAAGAGUGAUUCCUUAACUGAAACUCUCUAAACCACAACACAACCAUCGGAACGAAUCCUUUUCCCACAUAAUCAUGAGAAAUUCUGAACUAUACCUCCUAAAACUAGGAGUGAAGACAAAUCUAACCACCAAACACUCAUAAAGCCCAAUACCAUCACUGAUCUUAGUAAAAUUUUAUGCUCUUAGCAUAAUCUUCCGACGAGCUUUAAGCUGCAACAACCUGAUCUUAGAAAAUGCGUACUCAUCAAAGGAGAACCCAACUAAUCGACCCAAAGAAGGAGAUGACAAAGUAACCGCCCAGUUAACCAUACACCCAAGCAUACAUAACCUCUAAUUACGAUGUCGAGAUGCUGGAACAAUAGCUAUGAUUGUAGACAACCCCUGAAAAUGGCAACACUAGGCCCAAUGGCCCUCCAAAUCAAACACACAUAGCUGAAACAUGUCCUCAACGACAAGGUGAAUACCAAGAUUGUCGAGAAAUUGCAAUUCCCCAUGAUAGAUCUCAUACAAGCACUCUCAACAAUGUUCACACAUGCAGUGCUAUUAGCAUACCCUAACUGCCCAAAAUUCUCCUUUGUCUUACUCAGAAUACUCCCUCUCUGUAUCCACAAUUAAAACCUCUCCAGUUAUCUGAUUCCCACCUACUUAACUUCUCUCUGCAUACGAUAUCUGAUUUGAACACCAACACAACUCGAAACCUACUUGAAUCAUCAAAUCUAACAUAUUCUCCAUAAUUCGACUACUGAAAUAAAAAUAAUCUGAUGCCAACGAAAUAUCAUGACCUUUUUGAUCCUCUGCUCAUGCUUCCAAAAUCAUCAUUAGUACCAAAAUUCCUUGGAAAACACAUUAUCACACCCCGUAACUCUAAAUUAUGAUUCCUCUUUUUCUCAAAAGAAAUAUUUCUAUUCGUCCCAAGCCUACUAUAAGCAUUCUAUGUCUGGAACUGGUCCUACCCAAGGCUGAUAGUACUAAUUCCAAAUCUAAUAGUACUUUUCCAUCAAGCUAAAUCUAUUGAAUCAGAAACCAAUAUCGACUACAUGCAACCCUACACAUGCCAUGCCUCAACUGCCAUUCAAACAAUUGCGUACUCAUGCCAAAUUGUAGAUAAACCCUUGAUCAGCCCAAUAAUUUUGUAUACUAUUAGCACAUAACCUUUAUUCGCCACUAAGUUUCUGUCAUAAUAGUUUGUGUAUUUCCCAUCAACUAGGUAAUAUCAAUCCAGCUCAAAAUCCUCAAUAACCAUGUAGAACUAUAAGUCCUUCCUAUAAUGCACCCAUAAAUCACCUACCAUAAUUUGAAUAAUCCAACAUGAUCUUAGGCAUAUUUAUAUGCCUAGAAAUCUAAUAAUACCCAUAUUUAAGCUAAGUUUAAACUCAAUAGGUGUCUGUUUAUAGUCUUAUUGAGUUUUUUUGGUUGUCUAUGAGCUACCGAACAUGAUUAACUUGUAGGUGAGCUUAAAUGGAGAAACGAGCACGAAAAUGGAUUAUGAGGAACACAAAAGAUUCAAGG